GUUUGCCCAGCCUAAGGACUUGAGAAAAACAAAAAUAGGAUCCAGACAGAUUGGGCUUCACACCAAGAAUGUUGGAAAUAAAGCCUCAGCCCAAAGAAAGCCCAAAUGCGGAAACUUUCGAAAUAGGCUUCAAAGAUCAGCCCGUAAUUUUUGUUAGGUUCAAAACCCAAGGGAUCAAAGACACAUCCACGUGAUUGCCUCAACUUUGGAAAAGUCAGCAAUUCCAACUAAAGUUUAAAAAUGUGAGAAGGACGUCUCUGAAACACUGCCAAUUGAAGAUCAAAAACCCAUCUGUGUUCGAGAUUUUGCUCCAAAUCAAUACACCAUCUCCCAAGGAAUUCACGGAUCACGCUUUCUAAAUUAGAACGGGAAACAGAGAACCACUCAGAAAAUACAAAAGAAAGAGAGCCAAACCGCCAUAAAAAGCCCACACAGACGGUGGCGUUGGUUAAAUUAGAAAGCUGCCACCCAGGAAACCAGGGAAGGGACUGUUUUAGGAGGUGACUGCUCAGAACCUAUCUGCCUUGAUUGAUAAGAAACCCUUCUUACUUUACAUUAUAAGAGAUCUU
rnacentral:lncRNA from 1 species